CCUACGGGAGGCUGCAGUGAGGAAUAUUGGUCAAUGGACGAGAGUCUGAACCAGCCAAGUAGCGUGAAGGAUGACUGCCCUAUGGGUUGUAAACUUCUUUUAUAUGGGAAUAAACUGUUCCACGUGUGGGAUUUUGUAUGUACCAUAUGAAUAAGGAUCGGCUAACUCCGUGCCAGCAGCCGCGGUAAUACGGAGGAUCCGAGCGUUAUCCGGAUUUAUUGGGUUUAAAGGGAGCGUAGGUGGAUUGUUAAGUCAGUUGUGAAAGUUUGCGGCUCAACCGUAAAAUUGCAGUUGAAACUGGCAGUCUUGAGUACAGUAGAGGUGGGCGGAAUUCGUGGUGUAGCGGUGAAAUGCUUAGAUAUCACGAAGAACUCCGAUUGCGAAGGCAGUUCACUGGACUGCAACUGACACUGAGGCUCGAAAGUGUGGGUAUCAAACAGGAUUAGAUACCCGAGUAGUC
rnacentral:rRNA from 1 species